rnacentral:misc_RNA from 1 species
AACGCACAUUGCGCCCGCCAGUAUUCUGGCGGGCAUGCCUGUUCGAGCGUCAUUUCAACCCUCAAGCCCCCGGGCUUGGUGUUGGGGCUCGGCCCGUCCCUCGCGGCGCGCCGUCCCCGAAAUCUAGUGGCGGUCUCGCUGCAGCCUCCCCUGCGUAGUAGCUAACACUCGCAACGGGACCUGCGCGGGGCCACGCCGUUAAACCCCCAACUUUCUGAUGGUUGACCUCGGAUCAGGUAGGAAUACCCGCUGAACUUAA